rnacentral:rRNA from 1 species
GCGAGUGAAGCGGCAACAGCUCAAAUUUGAAAUCUGGCUCUCGGGCCCGAGUUGUAAUUUGUAGAGGAUGCUUUUGGUGAGGUGCCUUCCGAGUUCCCUGGAACGGGACGCCAUAGAGGGUGAGAGCCCCGUCUGGUUGGACACCGAUCCUCUGUAAAGCUCCUUCGACGAGUCGAGUAGUUUGGGAAUGCUGCUCUAAAUGGGAGGUAUAUGUCUUCUAAAGCUAAAUACCGGCCAGAGACCGAUAGCGCACAAGUAGAGUGAUCGAAAGAUGAAAAGAACUUUGAAAAGAGAGUUAAAAAGUACGUGAAAUUGUUGAAAGGGAAGCGCUUGUGACCAGACUUGGGCUUGGUUGAUCAUCCGGGGUUCUCCCCGGUGCACUCUUCCGGCUCAGGCCAGCAUCAGUUCGCCCUGGGGGAUAAAGGCUUCGGGAAUGUGGCUCUCUCCGGGGAGUGUGAUAGCCCGCUGCGUAAUACCCUGUGGCGGACUGAGGUUCGCGCAUUCGCAAGGAUGCUGGCGUAAUGGUCAUCAGUGACCCGUCUUGAAACACGGACCAAGGAGUCGUCUUCGUAUGCGAGUGUUCGGGUGUCAAACCCCUACGCGAAAUGAAAGUGAACGCAGGUGAGAGCUUCGGCGCAUCAUCGACCGAUCCUGAUGUUAUCGGAUGGAUUUGAGUAAGAGCAUACGGGGCCGGACCCGAAAGAAGGUGAACUAUGCCUGUGUAGGGGUGAAGCCAGAGGAAACUCUGGUGGAGGGCUCGCAGCGGUUCUGACGUGCAAAUCGAUCGUCAACAUGGGGCAUGGGGGGCGAAAGACUAAUCGAACCCUUUCUAGUAG